AACUUCGGUCUUUUAUUCCUCUUGACAAGCGUGUGAUUUGAUUGGGAGCUUUUAUUUGCAUUAACAACCUAUCAACUAUCUUGAUUUCAUCAGCUGACAGUGAAAACGGAAAAUUAAUUGUAUCAAACCAAUACCCGGUUAUUUGUUUUCCAAUACCCUCAUCUGCGAAGUGCAGAUCAUCAGGAACAAAACCAUUCACAACAUUAAAGCUUUUAAGGUUAAUUAAACACGAUGGCCUUUUUACGCCGAAAACCGGAACGUUAGAGUCUAUACUAAGUUGAAUGUGUUGUAUCAUGUCUAAUUCGGUUCUCCUUGGAGGAAGUUCGUCUAACAAGACAUAUUUCACACAACCGCCACGAAGAGUUGGUACAUACACACCUGGAUGCAAGCACCACGAACAACCGAAGUAACCAUUGUACUGAACAAUGCCCUGCAUGGGAGCUCGGGCACCGGAAUCGACACAACAGCAUAAUGAACACAUUCAUAUCUGGCUUGACUUUACCGAACCACAAACCACAAGUCACUGUUUUUGAAGUUCUAACAUUAUAAGGAAGUUCAUUGAUAAUCAUUUGGACAGGCCAAAUUGAAUACUGAGAGCUUUCAAAAACAGGAGCUCCGUCACUGUUGAAUGUGGCUGUAACAAAGUUCUUUCUUUCGUUAGGUGAAUAAACAUGCUCCCAGUUUUGAAAAAUCAAGUUGCUGCAAUCAUUUGCCACAUCGAAAACUACAAAAAAAUUGUUAUAGCAAGGACUUUUCAAAUAUAUAACCUUCCGACAAACGUG